rnacentral:rRNA from 1 species
GUAGGUGGCAAGCGUUGUCCGGAAUUAUUGGGCGUAAAGCGCGCGCAGGCGGUUCCUUAAGUCUGAUGUGAAAGCCCACGGCUCAACCGUGGAGGGUCAUUGGAAACUGGGGAACUUGAGUGCAGAAGAGGAAAGCGGAAUUCCACGUGUAGCGGUGAAAUGCGUAGAGAUGUGGAGGAACACCAGUGGCGAAGGCGGCUUUCUGGUCUGUAACUGACGCUGAGGCGCGAAAGCGUGGGGAGCAAACAGGAUUAGAUACCCUGGUAGUCCACGCCGUAAACGAUGAGUGCUAAGUGUUAGGGGGUUUCCGCCCCUUAGUGCUGCAGCUAACGCAUUAAGCACUCCGCCUGGGGAGUACGGCCGCAAGGCUGAA